AGGAAUAUUGGUCAAUGGACGCGAGUCUGAACCAGCCAAGUAGCGUGAAGGAUGACUGCCCUAUGGGUUGUAAACUUCUUUUAUAUGGGAAUAAAGUGGUCCACGUGUGGAUUUUUGUAUGUACCAUAUGAAUAAGGAUCGGCUAACUCCGUGCCAGCAGCCGCGGUAAUACGGAGGAUCCGAGCGUUAUCCGGAUUUAUUGGGUUUAAAGGGAGCGUAGGCGGAUUGUUAAGUCAGUUGUGAAAGUUUGCGGCUCAACCGUAAAAUUGCAGUUGAUACUGGCAGUCUUGAGUGCAGUAGAGGUGGGCGGAAUUCGUGGUGUAGCGGUGAAAUGCUUAGAUAUCACGAAGAACUCCGAUUGCGAAGGCAGCUCACUGGAGUGUAACUGACGCUGAUGCUCGAAAGUGUGGGUAUCAAACAGGAUUAGAUACCCUGGUAGUCCACACAGUAAACGAUGAAUACUCGCUGUUUGCGAUAUACAGUAAGCGGCCAAGCGAAAGCAUUAAGUAUUCCACCUGGGGAGUACGCCGGCAACGGUGAAACUCAAAGGAAUUGACGGGGGCCCGCACAAGCGGAGGAACAUGUGGUUUAAUUCGAUGAUACGCGAGGAACCUUACCCGGGCUUAAAUUGCAAAUGAAUUAUGGGGAAACCCAUAGGCCGUAAGGCAUUUGUGAAGGUGCUGCAUGGUUGUCGUCAGCUCGUGCCGUGAGGUGUCGGCUUAAGUGCCAUAACGAGCGCAACCCUUAUCUUCAGUUACUAACAGGUCAUGCUGAGGACUCUGGAGAGACUGCCGUCGUAAGAUGUGAGGAAGGUGGGGAUGACGUCAAAUCAGCACGGCCCUUACGUCCGGGGCUACACACGUGUUACAAUGGGGGGUACAGAAGGCCGCUACCUGGUGACAGGAUGCCAAUCCCAAAAACCUCUCUCAGUUCGGAUCGAAGUCUGCAACCCGACUUCGUGAAGCUGGAUUCGCUAGUAAUCGCGCAUCAGCCAUGGCGCGGUGAAUACGUUCCCG
rnacentral:rRNA from 1 species